AUUGCAAGAAUCCCUUCUCAUCUCAUCACCAGAGAACAUCAUUCAACUUCUACCUGAACACUUCCAGUAACAGGAAUUUUCAAAAUUUUAAGCUAAUUGGUUUCCUUGUUAGACUCUAAGUGCUCUAAGUAUUAGAAGAACUCUUUGUUGUAUUUAGCCAAAAUUUCUGUCCUUUUAAUUUCCACCCAUUGGUCCUUGUUGUGUAACAGCAAACACAUGCUUCUCCUACCGUUAUUAAUUUAAUCAUCAAAUAUUCAAAUGCCUAUUUAUGUGCCAGGAGCUCAGCUAAUUACAGAUAUUUUUCAUUUAAUCCUCACAACAAGAUUACUUAGCCCAUAAGAAACUUACUGCUAUUGAAACUCAGAACAGAAUGGCUAACUUCUUAAAAAUACCAUGAAAGUAAUAGUACACUCUUUAGAGAAUACAAAGAAGUUUUUUAAUGUGGCAAGUCAUAUGAUGAAUUUAUUAAGAAAACUGAAGCCGAGCUUAGCCAAGAUUUGGAAACAUCACCAACAGCCAAGCCUCAGAUUAAAACGCUCUCCUCAGCUUCUGAAAAACCCAAGAUCAAACCCCUCACACCACUACACAGAUCUGAAACGGCAAAGAAUUGGAAAUCACUAACAGAGUCAGAACGUUCCAGAGGAUCCCUGGAGUCUAUUGCUGAACAUGUUGAUGCUUCACUGUCAGGUUCUGAGAGAUCAGUAUCAGAAAGGUCUUUAUCUGCAUGUGCAAAGAGAGUAAAUGAAUGGGACAGUCGAACAGAAGAUUUUCAGACCCCAUCUCCAGUUCUCAGAUCAUCAAGGAAAAUCAGGGAAGAAUCUGGAGAUUCUCUAGAAAAUGUACCUGCAUUACAUCUUCUCAAAGAAUUAAAUGCCACUAGUAGAAUUCUUGAUGUUUCAGAUGGCAAGGUUGAAGAACCUAGUAAAAAAUCAGAAAUACAAGAAAUAGAGUAUACAAAAUUGAAGAAGAGUAAGAUUGAAAAUGUCUUUUCUAAAGAAGGUAAAUCUGAUGUCUUACUGAAAUUAGUCCUAGAACAGGGAGAUUCAUCUGAGAUUCUUUCAAAGAAAGAUCUUCCUUUAGAUUCUGAAAAUGUUCAGAAAGACCUAGUUGGAUUAGCUACUGAAAAUCUCCAUAAAAGUGAGGAAAUGUUGAAAGAGAGACAGUCAGAUCAAGAUAUGAAUCAUAGUCCAAACAUCCAAUCAGGAAAAGACAUUCAUGAACAAAAGAACACAAAGGAAAAAGAUUUGUCUUGGUCAGAACAUCUUUUUGCUCCUAAAGAGAUACCAUACUCUGAAGAUUUUGAAGUGUCUUCUUUCAAGAAAGAAAUUUCAGCUGAAUUGUACAAAGAUGAUUUUGAGGUGUCAUCUUUGCUGUCACUCAGGAAAGACUCUCAGUCUUGCAGAGAUAAGCCACAGCCAAUGAGGAGCUCUACAAGUGGAGCCACUAGCUUUGGUAGUAAUGAGGAAAUCAGUGAGUGCCUAAGUGAGAAAAGCCUUUCUAUCCAUAGCAAUGUUCAUUCUGACAGGCUGUUGGAACUCAAGUCCCCUACUGAGCUGAUGAAAAGUAAGGAGCGCAGCGAUGUGGAGCAUGAACAGCAAGUUACUGAAUCCCCUUCCUUGGCUUCAGUUCCUACUGCAGAUGAGUUAUUUGAUUUCCACAUUGGUGAUAGGGUGUUGAUUGGAAAUGUUCAGCCAGGAAUUCUUCGAUUCAAAGGUGAGACUAGUUUUGCUAAAGGAUUUUGGGCCGGAGUGGAGUUAGAUAAACCUGAAGGAAAUAACAAUGGAACAUAUGAUGGCAUUGCAUAUUUUGAGUGCAAAGAAAGGCAUGGUAUUUUUGCUCCUCCUCAAAAAAUAUCUCACAUUCCAGAAAACUUUGAUGACUAUGUAGACAUUAAUGAAGAUGAAGACUCUUACUCAGAUGAACAAUAUCAGUACUAUAAUCAAGAGCAAAAUGAUACAGAGGGUCCGAAAGACAGAGAAAAGGAUGUCAGUGAAUAUUUUUAUGAGAAAUCCCUACCUAGUGUGAAUGAUAUAGAAGCCUCAGUUAAUGGAAAUAGAAGCCUUAAAAUAGAAACAGACAAUGUACAGGACAUUUCUGGGGUACUUGAAGCCCAUGUUCACCAGCAGUCUUCAGUGGAUUCACAGAUUUCUUCAAAGGAAAACAAAGACCUCAUUUCUGAUGCCACAGAAAAGGUUUCCAUUGCUGCAGAAGACGAUACUUUAGACAAUACCUUUUCUGAAGAAUUGCAGAAGCAACAGCAGUUUACAGAAGAGGAAGACAACCUAUAUGCUGAAGCUUCAGAAAAGCUUUCUACACCACUUCUGGAUCUUUUAACAAGAGAAAAAAACCAACUGGAAGCCCAACUAAAGUCAUCACUAAAUGAGGAAAAAAAGUCAAAACAACAACUGGAAACAAUCAGCUUACUGACAGACAGUUUACUAAAAGUCUUUGUAAAGGACACAGUCAAUCAACUACAACAAAUCAAAAAAACCAGGGAUGAGAAAAUCCAGCUUAGCAAUCAGGAGCUUCUUGGUGAUGACCAAAAGAAAGUAACACCCCAAGACCUAUCCCAAAAUGUUGAGGAACAGUCACCAAAUAUUUCAGGUUGCUUCUUAAGGUCUGAAUUGGAAGAUGAAAAAGAAGAGAUUUCCUCUCCAGAUAUGUGUCCCAGACCGGAGAGCCCAGUAUUUGGUGCCAGUGGGCAGGAAGAACUUGCUAAGAGACUUGCUGAACUUGAGCUCAGCCGGGAGUUCCUGAGCGCAUUAGGAGAUGAUCAAGACUGGUUUGAUGAAGACUUUGGUUUGAGCUCUUCUCACAAGAUCCAAAAAAAUAAGGCAGAAGAAACCAUUGUACCUCUAAUGGCAGAACCUAAAAGAGUAACCCAACAACCAUGUGAAACAUUAUUGGCAGUCCCCCAUACUGCAGAAGAAGUAGAAAUUCUUGUACAUAAUGCAGCAGAAGAACUUUGGAAAUGGAAAGAAUUGGGCCACGAUCUUCAUAGCAUCAGUAUUCCUACAAAACUGCUUGGCUGUGCCAGUAAAGGUCUAGAUAUAGAAAGCACUAGUAAAAGGGUCUACAAACAGGCGGUUUUUGAUUUAACAAAAGAGAUUUUUGAGGAAAUAUUUGCUGAGGAUCCCAACUUAAAUCAACCUGUCUGGAUGAAGCCAUGUAGAAUCAACUCUAGUUAUUUCCGACGAGUGAAAAAUCCAAAUAACCUUGAUGAAAUCAAGAGCUUCAUAGCAAGUGAAGUACUCAAGUUGUUCAGUCUUAAAAAGGAGCCAAACCACAAAACAGAUUGGCAGAAAAUGAUGAAAUUUGGAAGAAAGAAAAGAGACCGAGUGGAUCAUAUCCUGGUUCAGGAGCUCCAUGAGGAGGAGGCACAGUGGGUGAACUAUGAUGAGGAUGAGUUGUGUGUGAAAAUGCAGCUAGCCGACGGGAUCUUUGAGACCCUGAUCAAAGAUACUAUUGAUGUUCUGAAUCAGAUCAGUGAAAAGCAGGGGAGAAUGCUACUUGUGUGACAUCUUGCAAAUAAAUCGAACACUGAGUGCU
rnacentral:sRNA from 1 species